ACUCAAAUGAAUUGACGGGGGCCCGCACAAGCAGUGGAGCAUGUGGUUUAAUUGGAUGCUACGCCAAAAACCUUACCAAGACUUGACUUCCCGGUGCAAUCCCUUAGAAAUAGGGGACCCCUUCGGGUACCGGUGACAGGUGGUGCAUGGUUGUCGUCAGCUCGUGCCGUGAGGUGUUGGAUUAAGUUCCGCAACGAGCGCAACCCUCGUCGUUAGUUGCCAUCAUUAAGUUGGGCACUCUAGCGAGACCGCCGGCGUCAAGCCGGAGGAAGGUGGGGAUGACGUCAAAUCAUCAUGCCCCUUACGUCUUGGGCUACACACGUGCUACAAUGGGCGGUACAACGGGUUGCCACUUCGCGAGAAGGAGCGAAUCCCUUAAAGCCGUCCUCAGUUCGGAUUGCAGGCUGCAACUCGCCUGCAUGAAGCUGGAAUUGCUAGUAACCGUGGAUCAGCAUGCCGCGGUGAAUACGUACCCGGGCCUUGUACACACCGCCCGU
rnacentral:rRNA from 1 species